rnacentral:rRNA from 1 species
UCCUGCGGGAGGCAGCAGUGGGGAAUAUUGCACAAUGGGGGAAACCCUGAUGCAGCGACGCCGCGUGAGUGAAGAAGCGUUUCGGCGCGUAAAGCUCUGUCAGCGGGGAAGAAACACGGUUCGCGAGAGUCGCGGACGGUACCCGACCAAGAAGCCCCGGCUCACUACGUGCCAGCAGCCGCGGGAAUACGUAGGGGGCAAGCGUUAUCCGGAUUCACUGGGUGUAAAGGGAGCGUAGACGGCGAGACAAGUCUGGAGUGAAAGGCCGGGGCCCAACCCCGGGACUGCUCUUGAGACUGCCUGGG